rnacentral:rRNA from 1 species
AUUGAACGCUGGCGGCAUGCCUUACACAUGCAAGUCGAACGGCAGCGCGGGAGCAAUCCUGGCGGCGAGUGGCGAACGGGUGAGUAAUACAUCGGAACGUGCCCAAUCGUGGGGGAUAACGCAGCGAAAGCUGUGCUAAUACCGCAUACGAUCUACGGAUGAAAGCAGGGGAUCGCAAGACCUUGCGCGCAUGGAGCGGCCGAUGGCAGAUUAGGUAGUUGGUGAGGUAAAGGCUCACCAAGCCUUCGAUCUGUAGCUGGUCUGAGAGGACGACCAGCCACACUGGGACUGAGACACGGCCCAGACUCCUACGGGAGGCAGCAGUGGGGAAUGUUGGACAAUGGGCGAAAGCCUGAUCCAGCCAUGCCGCGUGCAGGAUGAAGGCCUUCGGGUUGUAAACUGCUUUUGUACGGAACGAAACGGUCUUUUCUAAUAAAGAAGGCUAAUGACGGUACCGUAAGAAUAAGCACCGGCUAACUACGUG